GACAGAGGGGGCAAGCGUUGCUCGGAAUUACUGGGCGUAAAGGGCGCGUAGGCGGAAUGGCAAGUCGGUCGUGAAAUCCUUCGGCUCGACCGAAGAACGUCGAUCGAAACUGCCGUUCUUGAGGAUUGCAGAGGAGACUGGAAUUCCCGGUGUAGCGGUGAAAUGUGUAGAUAUCGGGAGGAACACCGGUGGCGAAGGCGGAUCUCUGGGCCAUUACUGACGCUGAGGAGCGAAAGCGUGGGGAGCGAACAGG
rnacentral:rRNA from 1 species